rnacentral:rRNA from 1 species
UAGGGAAUCUUCGGCAAUGGACGAAAGUCUGACCGAGCAACGCCGCGUGAGUGAAGAAGGUUUUCGGAUCGUAAAACUCUGUUGUUAGAGAAGAACAAGGACGUUAGUAACUGAACGUCCCCUGACGGUAUCUAACCAGAAAGCCACGGCUAACUACGUGCCAGCAGCCGCGGUAAUACGUAGGUGGCAAGCGUUGUCCGGAUUUAUUGGGCGUAAAGCGAGCGCAGGCGGUUUCUUAAGUCUGAUGUGAAAGCCCCCGACUCAACCGGGGAGGGUCAUUGGAAACUGGGAGACUUGAGUGAAGAAGAGGAGAGUGGAAUUCCAUGUGUAGCGGUGAAAUGCGUAGAUAUAUGGAGGAACUCCAGUGGCGAAGGCGGCUCUCUGGUCUGUAACUGACGCUGAGGCUCGAAAGCGUGGGGAGCAAACAGG